AAACUAGGAUUAGAUACCCAUGUAAAUAAAUUUUAAAGUAUUAAAUUUUUAAAAUUAAACUAAAAAAAUAUUUGGCGGUAAAAUAAUUAAUUAAAGGGGCUUGAUUAAUUAUAGAAAGUACUCAUUAAAAUAAAAUUUAUUUAUUAAUUUAUUUAUCUCCGUGUAACAUAUAUAUAAAUUUAAUUUUUAUCAAUUUAAUAAUUUUAUACAGGUCAAAAUUUAAUUUAAAAUAAAUAUAAUUUAGCCACAAAAAAGAAAAUAAUAAUUUAAGAAUUUAAAAGUAAAUUUAUUUUUAAAAAAAAUUAUAUUGAAAAAAAAAUUUUAUGUACAUAUUGCCCAUCACUUUCAUUAAUUAAAUGAAAUAAGUCGUAACAUAGUA
rnacentral:rRNA from 1 species